CCAAUCAGUUAGAUUGAGACUCUUCCUGAAAAUCAAACAAAUAUGGUUUCAUAUUGUUCGAUAGUAUUUUUGCUUUUCUUAUGUCUUAUGGUCAGUGAUGCUUUCCUAUUUUGGAAUAGAAAGGUAGAUUGUAGUGUAAGUCAAUGGUCGUCUUGGAGUUCACCGACCAGUGCGGGACAGCAGACUAGAAUUAGACGGAUUAUGCGUUAUCCUCAAAAUGGCGGCCAGCCAUGUCCACACCUUUCAGAGACAAGGGAUCCAAAUUCGGAUUGUACAGUUUCACCUUGGUCGACAUGGAGUGCAAACUUUGGGUUUGGACAACAAUCACGUGUCAGAACUGUUAUAACUCAACCUACUGGAACCGGAAAACAGUGCCCAGUUCUUGAGGAAAUCAGAUACACUGGUACAGUUCCAAGCGUAAAUGUUACGGCAAAGAAUAUUCAAGACUUCUUUGCUCGGCCAAAUGGGAAAGCUUUUAAAAAAAAACCCAAGUCAAGAUUUGCCUAGAGAUUUAGUGAUCAUUAUGGACAGUUCUGGUAGUAUUGGCAAUGUUGACUUCCAAGUUGCAAAAGAUCAAACCAGCAAACUAAUUGGAUUAUUAUGUCCUAAUUCACCGUUUGAUAAGAUUGCCGGGUCCCCCUAUCAAUAUAACCAAGCCGCCAUGUUGACAUUCUCAACGAAUGUGGCUGAAAACUUUGAUUUUAGUACCUACAGUACCACAGUGAGUAUUCAGAGUGCGUUAAAAAGGGCCAAAUAUGUCGGAGGAAGUACAUAUACCAACAAAGCGUUCGAUCAAGCAGUGGGUCUUUUUCAACCGAGCAAAGGUGUAAGAGAUGGAACACGUGCAAAACGCGAGGUACUUAUUCUGACUGACGGAUUGUCUCACAAUCGAACGAAAACUCUGGCUGCGGUUGAAAGACUUAAACCUGUGGCGGACAUAUACGGUCUUAUGAUAGGCAGCAUCUCAUCGGAUGGGAUGGAUGAGCUUACACAAUAUGUGUCUUCACCGAUAAAUGAACAUUUGUUUUAUGCCCAAAAUUUACAAAUACUAAAAGAUUUAGUAUCAUAUAUUACAAACGCGAAGCUGCAGUUUGGUGCAAAUCGGUGUGCACCUUUUAAUCCGUAGUACCCUUAUGGCAUUUUUAAGCAGCAUUACUCCAUACUAAUUUUUGUGAAAUUUACAGAAUGUUUUCAAUUAGGAAAUAUCAUCGGUCUUAGCGGUGUUUAUCGGCUAUUUAUCACCGGUUUGGAGUUUUGAUGCGAAAGAAUUGACCAUGAAAGCCGUAGGCCUAAGUGGUUAGUUUGUUCACAUCAAAACGACAAAACCGGUGUUAUAUAGCCGAUAAACACCACUAAGACCGAUGUUAUUUCGAUUCUAACAAGAUAAAAUAAGGAAGAUCACUAAUGUUAUUUCUUUCACUGAAUUUAUUGCACGAGUUAAAUAU